rnacentral:rRNA from 1 species
UACGUAGGCAGCAAGCGUUGUUCGGAAUUACUGGGCGUAAAGAGUGUGUAGGCGGUUCUCUAAGUUCCGUGUGAAAUCUCCCGGCUUAACUGGGAGGGUGCGCGGAAGACUGGAGGGCUGGAGUAUGGGAGAGGAAAGCGGAAUCCUGGUGUAGCGGUGAAAUGCGUAGAUAUCAGGGAGGAACACCUGCGGUGUAGACAGCUUUUUUUCUGGGACCAUCACUGACGCUGAGACACGAAAGCGUGGGUAGCAAACAGG